rnacentral:ncRNA from 1 species
AGAGCUAAUACGUGCAACAAACCCCGACUUUUGGGAGGGGCGCAUUUAUUAGAUAAAAGGCUGACGUGGGCUCUGCUCGCUGAUCCGAUGAUUCAUGAUAACUCGACGGAUCGCAUGGCCUUUAUGCCGGCGACGCAUCAUUCAAAUUUCUGCCCUAUCAACUUUCGAUGGUAGGAUAGGGGCCUACCAUGGUGGUGACGGGUGACGGAGAAUUAGG